UAUCUGGCAAUGUGUGUGAGAAAGACACCAACCAUUCUGUCUGCAACACCAAGGCUGAGCUGGUGGCCAAAAUCAAAGAGCUGUCUGAAGAUCUUCCCAGGUACACAGUGAAGAACACAUGCACCAAGUUCCGGUGCCAUCUUGAGUGCUCUGGUGGAUGCUGAGAGUGGCUA